UACGUAGGGUGCAAGCGUUAAUCGGAAUUACUGGGCGUAAAGCGUGCGCAGGCGGUUUUGUAAGUUUGUCGUGAAAUCCCCGGGCUCAACCUGGGAAUGGCGAUGAAGACUGCAAGGCUAGAGUUUGGCAGAGGGGGGUAGAAUUCCACGUGUAGCAGUGGAAAUGCGUAGAUAUGUGGAGGAACACCGAUGGCGAAGGCAGCCCCCUGGGUCAAAACUGACGCUCAUGCACGAAAGCGUGGGGAGCAAACAGG
rnacentral:rRNA from 1 species